rnacentral:tRNA from 1 species
GGUAAGGUGUCUGAGAUAGGUGCCGAGUUGUAGCCUCGGUCAUGGGGUCGAGUCCCCCCUUGCCA